CAGGAGGCUCGUUGAGACCAGAAGAGCGGAGGCAGGGGAGUCACAGGGCAGGUCUGCAGGGCCACCAUCUUCCAAGCCCCUGCUUUGUUUCCUGAGAUGAGGCUCAUUUGUUUAUUCACUUAUGCAAAUAGUUUUUGAGUGCUUACUGUGUGUCAGCCACCAAGCUAGGCACUGGGGAUGGGGCCUGGGAUAAGAAGACAAUGUGGUCCUUGUAUGGCUGCACAGCUCACAGUCUAGUGGGAGAGGCCCUGUCUCCAAACAUAGUCACCAUGGGGUGACAUACACCUUUUGAAUGGACACAGUUCUAUCCAUAACAGGUAGCGUCUCCUAUGCACUGGGUACUGGGUACAAAACCAAAGCUGCCAGCCUUCUGAAGAUGUAGAUGGGAUAAUAGAGCUCUGAUGCUGCUUUUGUGAGCGUCCUCCUCCUUCACCAUGGACAGGAUCUGUGGGACUGUCAAUCAAGGUGUCCUGCCCAUCCCCCAGCCAAGAGGAGAACAGAGAGUAGGAGGCUCCUGGAACUCAAGUCUCCAGGGAAGUCACACGAAGACAGUGUCAGGGUGAACAUGACUCACCCACAAAAGCCCUGGCUAGGCUUAUGCUGUGGUUCCUGCUGCCUGGAUUCUUGCUGUCUUGUUCUGCUUGAGAUCUGGCUGGUCUGUUUUGUUUCAGUGCUUCCUUUGAUCUGUAAGCUUUGCCAAAUCCU